UAAAAUGGAUAAAUAUUUUUAAAUUCUCUUUUUUUUUAUAGAGGAGUGAUCGGGCCCAGUCUUGCUGGAACGUUAGAUGAUCAUUUUGGAUUUGAGCAGUCCACGACUAUAAUAGCUUUCAUCAUGCUUUUUCAAGCCCUGCUGAUUUUUUCAUUCACGUUGCAUGAAAAGAUCUCUUUAAGGGGAAAUUCUGACCCAUCAGAAAGGGAACCUCUCACUAUUAACAACAGGAAGGAGUAGGGCAAUAAUUGAAUGAAAUGUGAUGAUGAUGACACCUUUAUUCAAAAGAAUAAAUAACAAUCUCAACACCAGGGUAGUCCCAUCAGAACGUAAAGCUCUGCUAUCAAUAGGAGCCCUGAUGAAUAGGAUCCUAAAAUAAAUAUAAUGCACAAUACAGAAAUAAAGAUAAAUAAUAGUACUAAUUAAUACUACUAAUUAAUUAAAUGUCGACAAAAAACUCAUAAAUGAACAUUUCAUUUCAUAAAUGAUGAAAUAUUUUAUUCGUAAUUUAAGGUAAUCGCAUACAUAAUUAAUCAAAAGCUAUAAAGAUACCCCAAGUGGCAUUCAGAAUGUAACUUACCAUGCGCACAUAAUGAUUCCUUUUUUCGAUCUCUCAGAGAAAGACAUUCUUCCUAACUUUUUACGGUUUGGGAUGUUAUAUGUUGUACAUCAGUUGCUCAUACACUACACCUAAUCUUUUGAAUCGUGCGAAGGAAAAACAAGGAAAAGGUGCUCGUAUUCCAUGAUUUUUAAAAGUGUAAUUAUCCAUUGGGUAAUUAACAAAUCGACAGUGGUUUAGCGUGGUCUGUACUCUUAUUGUCAACGAUAUUUGUCAUCACAGUGGUCAAAAUGCCUAUGGACUCACGAGGCGCAGCAGUUGUUGAAAAGAGGACAGACCACGCUAAACUACUGUCGAUGUUUUUUUACCACAA